GCCCAGAGAAGGAAAACAUCUUCCUAGGGUCACACAAGCAGGACUCCAACUCAGAUCCUCUAACUCCAAGACCAGAGGGUCACAGCCCAAGCCCCAGCAGCUCCAAGGCCGGCAGUCUGGGGGCCAGAGUAGAGGCUCAUUAUGCCUAUAGUCACUCAUCCUUUUCUCAAUAGUCCCUGGGGGCUUCGUCUCCCUUCACGACCUCUCCUAGGACCAAGACAGGUCCAAGGCUGGGUGAGUGCUGGCCUCCCCCCUGUGGCCACACUGAGUAACUGCAAAGGGGCCCCAACUGGGAAGCCCCUUCUCCCUCCCUUUCCCCAGGAUGGGAGAAGCCUUAAGGAACAGGGAGUGAGUCCUGCUCCCUCAUUUUACAGAUGGGGAAACUGAGACUUCUAAAGGGGAAGAGAUUUGCCUAAUGUCACACCCUGAGUUAGUGGCAGACCCAGGAUUGAUCAUCUGAUAAUGAGAGCCGGUUUUUAUGGGCCUUAAUGUCUACCCUUUUAACAGACAUUGUCUCACUUGACCUUCAUAAGCAGCCUGAGUAAUUGGAGGGAGUGGGGAGUGCUAUUAUCAUCCUCAUUUUUCAUACAAGAAAACUGAACCUCCGAGAUGAAAAAAACAUCACAGCACAGUGAUAACAUCCUGGAAUUGGAAUCGAGAAAACCAGACUUGAAAUACUGCCUGUGACACUUGCCAGCCAUGUAAAACCUAAAGUGCAGGUGGCAGGUGACCAGUCAAUCAACCAAGAAACAAUUCAGCAAGUAUCUCCUGUGUGCCAGUCACUAAGCUAAACCCAGAGGCUGCAAGGGAAAACCAUGAAACGCUGCAGAAGUGAACACAGACCACAAAAAGCAAAGGACAAAAAAACUCAGGAAAACUAAAGUUCAAAAGAAAAAGAAAAGAAUGAAACAAGCCCUACUCUGAAGGAGCUGACAUUCUAAUGGAAGAGAGUACACAUAAAAAUAUGCACAGCAAAAAUAUGAGGUGGUGAAACACCGGACCUGGAGUCAGGAAGACCU